UACUGUGUGAUUGUGUGAUUUAAAAAGAGAAAAAGUGGUUUUGAGAAGAAUAAGAAUGCUAACGGUUAUAUUUUUUUUCCCAUUACAGACUUUCCAAGCUUUCAAGGACUGCAUGGAGAAACAUCGUUCCUGAAAGCACCAAAUAUUCCCUUGAUCUAAGCCCCGGACCCGUUUGAAUCCCGCAGCAGUCCGGCGAGAUGCGGGAGGUUGGCAAUAAUUGGAAAUGGCUCCUCUAGUUUCGGAGACACAAUCAGAUGCGUCUUGCUGCUUCAAAGCGGUGGAUGUUUAAAAAUCCCACGCUCACGACCGGGACUACAGCCAGAGGAGCAACUUUUCCCAUUUCUUGACACAAUGAAUCGGCAUGACAUCUCCGGCUAACCUGAGCUGCUGUAGUUUUCCACAGCACACUUGCAGCAUGUUACAAGUAAAAAUCCUGCAGCAGAAGCCAGCAGAGACAAAAACAGCCACUCCCCGGAGGAGCUCUGUACAAUACGGACACACACAUGAACAAACGCACAUGUACAGUACUUCAGCGUUGUCAAUGCAGCACUGACAACUUACAGCCAUCAGUACUUCUGGGGUGUUAUGAGGAGACCUAUAGUGGGUUGGGCUGGAUGACCACAAGCUUUUAUCACGAUAUGACACAUGCUAUAUCACAAUUUC